CCCGAGCUGCCGGAGCCGCCCGAGCCCACCAACAAGGAGCUGUGCGCCAAGGACGGGGCUCUCCAUGCCACCAGGUUCCUGUUUGAGCUGGCCCGCAGGCACCCCAACCUCCCCGACGCCGUCCUCGCCAAGCUCUACGACUCCUCCGGGAAGCUCCGCGGGGAAUGCUGCUCCUCCAAGGACCCCUCCGCCUGCUGGGACAGCAAGCGCCGGCGGAUAGAGGCAGAGCUCUUCCCCUUCCUGCAAAAAGCCAACCAGCUCUGCGGGCAGCACAACCAGCUGCCUUUCCUUGACUUCAAGAAGAGGCUGCGGGACAGCCUGGCACAGGCCGAGCCCCGGCCGGGCCCGGAGCAGCUGGAGCAGCUCCUGGAGCAGCGAGCAUCCUUCGCCUCCACCUGCUGCCUGCCGGCCGCUCCGCCGCUGCUCUGCGCUUCCAAGGUCAGCUCGGAGCUGGGGGAGCUGUGCCAGAAGGGCUCCUGCCUGCUGGGAUAGCGGCCCCUUGUCCAAGGAUGGCGCACGGAUGGAGGGGAGAGCCCUGGGGGGCACGGGAAGGGGCUGGAGGAGGCCCGGCAGGCGGGAGGUGUCGCCGAGCCGGCGCCUUGUAUUCCUGCAGCCGAAAUAAAGACAAGGAAUGUUCUCCUGCAGCCGAAAUAAAGACAAGGAAUGUGCCCUGCGGGAAGGCUUUGUGCACCCUCGGGGCGGCGCAGGGGGGUGGGAGAGGGGCACAGCUUCUCCUCCGCGGGCAGGAAGGGAUCCCAGCCCUGACCCUGGGAGAUAAAGCCCUAAAAACUAAGCGAAAGCAGGGAAAAGACUCCUCAAAUGCCCCCAAGGAGAGCAGCCCGUGGGUGUUGGGGUAUUCAGCUGCCUGAGAGGGGCACCCUGGCACCCCCAGCUCCCCGCCUGCCCAGAGCUCUGGGGGUGCUGCAGGCCCGGGUUGGGAUGCAGGAGGAUGGCAAAGCCAGCCCAGGAAGCAGCAGGAAAAUCCCCCGAGCCCAGAAUUUGGGAGCUUUGUGUGCAACAAACACGGCCCGAGGACACCUGGGUGUGCAGAGAUGAGCCAGGGCGAUACAGCAGAGCCAAAGGCAAGAAGAACUCCCUGUUCAAGGCAGCUCUCCCUUCUCUGGGAGCACUGGCAGUCUCUGGAUGGCUGCUGAGCUCCCCUGGAGUGUGAGAAACAAGGUGGAUUGGGCUGGCACCAUCCCUGUCCUGGACAGAAAAGGGAAACUGGUUUUGGCUUGGUUUUGGUUUUCAUUUUUUGCCCCAAGGACCCCACUGACCUGGGACUGGACGUGCUGGUGCCAAGGCAUGGAUCCUCCUGUCACAGCCUGUCUUUGGCACCUAUUUUCCAAAACAUUGAUUUCCAAUUAUUUCUAACUUACUUCCAAUCAAUAAGUUGGG